rfam:Ictidomys tridecemlineatus contig014097, whole genome shotgun sequence.
GGGGUUAUGGCUCAGUGGUAGAGCUCUCGCCUCGAAUGUGUGGGGCCCUGGGUUCGAUCCUCAGCACCA